rnacentral:lncRNA from 1 species
AUGAUGAUUAUCUGAAGUCUAAUGAUGGGUCUUCAAAGGUUCACUUUGGCUGUAUAAACUAUCAAGAUGGUUGGGCAAGUAGAGAGGUUGGUCCUGAUAAUGUUUAUAAUUCUGCUCGAGUUAUUAGGAGUUCGGGUGAUUCAGUCUCCAAGUUGAAUAUGACAUGGACAUUUCCGGUGAUUGGAGGGUACAAGUACUUGGUUAGGAUGCACUUCUGUGAUAUAGCUAGUGUUGCGCGUGGGAUGCUAUUUUUUAAUGUGUAUGUGAACAACAAUUUGGCCUACGAAAACUUGGAUCUUACGUCAGUUACAAAUGGGAUGCUAGCUUCCAUGAUUCAGUCCCCAAGUUGAAUAUGACAUGGACAUUUCCGGUGAUUGGAGGGUACAAGUACUUGGUUAGGAUGCACUUCUGUUAUAUAUCUAGUGUUGAUGCUGUUUUUUAAUGUGUAUGUGAACGACAAUUUGGCCUACGAAAACUUGGAUCUUACGUCAGUU